rnacentral:rRNA from 1 species
UGGCUGCAGUCGAGAAUCAUUCGCAAUGCGCGAAAGCGUGACGAUGCGACGCCGCGUGCAUGAUGAAGCUCUUCGGAGUGUAAAGUGCUUUUCUGAAGGAAUAACUUACGUGAAGGUACUUUAGGAAUAAGGGGUUGCUAAACUCGUGCCAGCAGCCGCGGUAAUACGAGUGCCCCGAGCGUUGUCCGGAAUUACUGGGCGUAAAGGGUGCGUAGGGGGAGUUGUUAGUCCUGUUUUAAAUUCUUCUGCUUAACAGAAGAAGUGGAUGGGAAACGGCAGCACUAAGAGGAUGCGAGAGGUUUAUGGAACUCUGGGUGUAGGGGUGAAAUCCGUUGAUAUCCAGGGGAACACCAAAAGCGAAGGCAAUAAACUGGCGCAUUUCCUGACCCUGAUGCACGAAAGCGUGGGUAUCGAAAGGGAUUAGAUACCCCGGUAGUC